rnacentral:lncRNA from 1 species
CUGUGACCUCCUGGCCCUCCCCAGAGGCUUGGCUCCCCMCACCUCCCAGACACUCAGGCAGAAAGUUAGGGGGACCCAGAGGGCAGGAAAGUCCACUGGACCCAGCAGGUGUGCAUGUGAACUGCCACCAUUCACAGAUGAACCACAGUCACUUCUCAAAAAGUUUCCCACUCUGAUAGAAAAGCGGCAUGGGCUACCGCCAAGCAGACCCCACAAUGGGCAGAGCUGYUGUCCCGAGCCCAGGCCUUGUCCAGGGCCCCUCAGUGCAAACACUGCCUCCCGGAGCCCCAACAGGAGCACCAGGGGAGACCAUGCGGAAGUCAYACUCCCUGGCAGGACACACAGACCCAGACCAGAGUGCUGCUCCCUCCCCCACAAGCCCCCUAGUCUCCACCCACACGUGCUCCUCGCUGCGGGGAUCACCUGGCACAGGCACCCUGACUGGGCUGGCAGAGCUGCUGAAACUCGUGCUCCCACCCAGGGCAGCUUUGUGGGCCCUGCGGGGGAUCCCCCUGUCCCCAUCGGCACCUCCGUGGUCCUUGUUGCAAGUUCACAGCAGAAAGGCUGAUGCCAGUUCCCAAGGUCCCCAGGGUCGAGGACAARGCCAGAAACCAGAGCAUCAUUUACCCAGAACACGGCCAUCACAGCAGCAGGCAUGUGCAGCACUGGGAAAUUGCAUGUUCCAGAAGCUUCUGUGA